CUAAACGAAUGGGCUAUUGGGAGUUGGGUUUUGUCUGGAGGAAGCAGCUUCUAGGAACUGCCUUUGUACGGAUGUGACCUUCGCCUUGAAAAAACAACUACUAAAAUUGCUGUCAAAAAUUGUACCCAGAUAAUGAGUACCGUAUGGAGCCACAGAUACUGUUUCCUUAGUAAAUAUCAAAUACUGCAGUUCAUGUUGGAGCUACUACCUCAGAUUUCAUCUCGUACAGACAAGCUGUGUCACCUUGGGCAGGUGCAGUUCCUGUGAACUCCUGAAUGGGAUCCUGUGAUGUCACAAGAGAUCUUUCUUUCAGAUCAGGUGGAGACUCCAACUCUGUAAGCCAGAAGGAACAAAGAAGCUAAAAAUUCAUAGCCCAUGUGUCCAGGAGGAAGCCAUCUUGGCAGGAAUGACAUCACCAAUGGUAUGAGGAAAGCUACUCUUUACAUUGGUGUUACUACAUUUUAUUACAGAUUGUGUUAAGGUGUCUAGGAAGCUGAAGGACAUUUUCAAUUUGUGUUUACUGAUCUAGAACUUCAGUGAGGAUGGAAAUAUAUAUGUAUUUCAUACAUCUAUGAAAUUUAUUGACAAGUACAUUGAAAAUAAAUUAGUUGCUUGAACAGAAAGUUGAAUAUUCUAUUUUGUGGAUAUAGAUGCAUCCUAUUUCACCUUGGACAAUGUCAAAGCCAGGCUACUUGUGAGUCAUUCAAAAUAUGUGUCA
rnacentral:lncRNA from 1 species